AAGUGAAAAAGUGGGAUAUGGUGGAAAAUGUUGAAUGCCCUUCUCAGCCAGCUAGAUCACUAGAUUGUGGCCUGUAUGAUUUAAAAUUCAUGUAUUAUCUUGCUUGCAAGGAUAAGUCAUACCAUUGGGACUUCACACAAUGAUAUCAGUCAAUACCAGCGACUGCUUGGAGCAAGAAUCUUGAAGAAGGGCCUCAAUCAGAAGAUAGAAGGAGUUUUUAAAAAUUAGGAUAAAAAUACUAAAUAUCUAUUAUGAUAUUUUCUUUUCAGUUCUUUGAUUUUUGUAAUUGGAUCAGAAAUCUAUAAUUCAACAGAUGUUAUCCCUUCGAUAUACUCUUUAUUUAUUUCAAUUUGUGUAGUUUUUCAAAGAUAAAAUGACGUUAAAUUAUGUGCCUAAAUACCAUAAAUUUCUGCCUAAAUGUCAUAAUAUUAUACAGAAAUAUCAUAAUGUCAUAAACUUUUAAAUGGAUGAUAGGA
rnacentral:lncRNA from 1 species